GCCUGGGUGGCUCAGUUGGCAGAGCGACAGACUUCAUUCUGCUGAGAUCAUGAUCUCACAGCUCGUGAGUUCAAGCCCCACAUUGGGCU
rnacentral:tRNA from 1 species